GAUGAAGAACGUAGCGAAAUGCGAUAAGUAAUGUGAAUUGCAGAAUUCAGUGAAUCAUCGAAUCUUUGAACGCACAUUGCUCCCGCCAGUAUUCUGGCGGGCAUGCCUGUUCGAGCGUCAUUUCAACCAUCAAGCCCCCGGGCUUGUGUUGGGGACCUGCGGCUGCCGCAGGCCCUGAAAAGCAGUGGCGGGCUCGCUGUCACACCGAGCGUAGUAGCAUACAUCUCGCUCUGGGCGUGCUGCGGGUUCCGGCCGUUAAACCACCUUUUAACCCAAGGUUGACCUCGGAUCAGGUAGGAAGACCCGCUGAACUUAAGCAUAUCAAUAAGCGGAGGA
rnacentral:misc_RNA from 1 species